GAAAAAGCAAUUUUAGAUCACACGAUCGGAAGGCCAAAAGCGUUUCGGUCAAAUCAUUGCCAUCCACCUUCCGCCCAUAAAAGGAUUCCUGACGCCUCGAGAUGCUCGUGGACUGUUAUUUCAUAUUUGUAAGAUGGUAAAAAUACGACCAUUCCACCUGGCGCAAUGUUGCAAAGGUUGGAUAAUAUGCGACCAACCUCAUCUAACUGAAAAAAAGAUUGAAUAAAGUCACAAACCUAUAUCUAUGAAGUGAGCUGCAGGAUUCAGAAGCACAAACUUCAGCCCAGCUUGACCUAUCGUGGAUGCGGGAAGUAGAAAGACUCGUCCGUCAGAACAAUUAUUUUUCAAGCAUUCCAAGAAAUUUAUCACAGCCAUGAGAGAGCUGGAUUGACUCUCCGCUGAUUUUUUAUCAUCCUUCACAAUCAAUGGAAUUUCUACAACUUCAGAUUGCUUUCCUUGAAGAGUGUUUAGAAAAUCUUUCAGUCCUGAUUUAUGUGUUUUAUUAUUAUG
rnacentral:misc_RNA from 1 species